AUGCGAUAAGUAAUGUGAAUUGCAGAAUUCAGUGAAUCAUCGAAUCUUUGAACGCACCUUGCGCUCCUUGGUAUUCCGAGGAGCAUGCCUGUUUGAGUGUCAUUAAAUUCUCAAUCUCUACAACUUUGUGGUGUCUAGAUUGGAAGUGGGGGUUUGUUGUGUGGAAUCUAAUUCCUCACUCCCCUUAAAUGCAUUAGCUGGAAUGCCUCUGCAUAUCUGACUAUCAGUGUGAUAAUUAUCUAUGCUGUAGUUGUUGCAUGAGGGUAUCUGCUUCAUAAAUCGUCGCAAGACAAUUCUAUAUGACCAUCUUGACCUCAAAUCAGGUAGGACUACCCGCUGAACUUAA
rnacentral:misc_RNA from 1 species